rnacentral:siRNA from 1 species
GCGGGAUCCCUCGCGGGUGCAC